CCUACGGGUGGCAGCAGUGAGGAAUAUUGGUCAAUGGGCGCAAGCCUGAACCAGCCAAGUCGCGUGAGGGAUGACGGCCCUCCGGGUUGUAAACUCCUUUUGCCGGGGAGCAACGUGCGUCACGUGUGCCGCCUCUUGUAGUUCCCACCAACAAAGCAUCCGCUAACUCCGUGCCAGCAUGCGCGGUAAUUCCGAGGGGGCGAGCGGUAUCCGGAGUUUUUGGGGUUAAAGGGUGCGUUGGAGGGUUCUUUAGUCAGUGGUGAAAGUGGGGGGCUCAACCCCUUACCCGCCUUUGAAACUGGCGGACUGGAGUGGAAGAGAAGAAGGCGGAAUUCAUGGUGUAGCGGUGAAAUGCGUAGAUAUCACGCAGAACCCCGAUGGCGAAGGCAGCAUGCCGGCGUCCAACUGACGCUGAGGCACGAAAGCGUGGGGAUCGAACAGGAUUAGAUACCCCAGUAGUC
rnacentral:rRNA from 1 species